rnacentral:rRNA from 1 species
UACGUAGGUGACAAGCGUUGUCCGGAUUUACUGGGCGUAAAGAGCGCGCAGGCGGUCGUUCAAGUCGCGUGUGAAAGCCCCCGGCUCAACUGGGGAGGGUCACGCGAUACUGAUCGACUCGAAGGCAGGAGAGGGUAGUGGAAUUCCCGGUGUAGUGGUGAAAUGCGUAGAUAUCGGGAGGAACACCAGUGGCGAAGGCGACUACCUGGCCUGUUCUUGACGCUGAGGCGCGGAAGCUAGGGGAGCAAACGGG